rnacentral:rRNA from 1 species
GGGGAAUUUUGGACAAUGGGCGCAAGCCUGAUCCAGCAAUGCCGCGUGCAGGAUGAAGGCCUUCGGGUUGUAAACUGCUUUUGUACGGAACGAAAAGCCUCUCUCUAAUACAGGGGGGUGAUGACGGUACCGUAAGAAUAAGCACCGGCUAACUACGUGCCAGCAGCCGCGGUAAUACGUAGGGUGCAAGCGUUAAUCGGAAUUACUGGGCGUAAAGCGUGCGGAGGCGGUUUUGUAAGACAGUGGUGAAAUCCCCGGGCUCAACCUGGGAACGGCCAUUGGGACGGCAGGGCUGGAGUGCGGCAGAGGGGGAUGGAAUUCCGCGGGUAGCAGUGAAAUGCGUAGAUAUGCGGAGGAAAACCGAUGGCGAAGGCAAUCACCUGGGCCUGCACUGACGCUGAUGAACGAAAGCGUGGGGAGCAAACA